UACGUAGGGUGCAAGCGUUGCCCGGAUUUAUUGGGCGUAAAGGGCGCGUAGGCGGUCACGCACGUCCGUUGUGAAAGCCCAGGGCUCAACCCUGGAAUUGCCUUCGAUACUGUUUGGCUAGAGACCGGAAGAGGUAAGUGGAACUGCGAGUGUAGAGGUGAAAUUCGUAGAUAUUCGCAAGAACACCAGUGGCGAAGGCGGCUUACUGGUCCGGUUCUGACGCUGAGGCGCGAAAGCGUGGGGAGCAAACAGG
rnacentral:rRNA from 1 species